UCGGGAAUUUUGGGCAAUGGGCGAAAGCCUGACCCAGCAACGCCGCGUGAAGGAUGAAGUAUUUCGGUAUGUAAACUUCGAAAGAAUAGGAAGAAUAAAUGACGGUACUAUUUAUAAGGUCCGGCUAACUACGUGCCAGCAGCCGCGGUAAUACGUAGGGACCAAGCGUUGUUCGGAUUUACUGGGCGUAAAGGGCGCGUAGGCGGCAAUUCAAGUCAUCUGUGAAAUCUCCGGGCUUAACUCGGAACGGUCAGAUGAUACUGCUUUGCUAGAGUGCAGAAGGGGCAAUCGGAAUUCUUGGUGUAGCGGUGAAAUGCGUAGAUAUCAAGAGGAACACCUGAGGUGAAGACGGGUUGCUGGGCUGACACUGACGCUGAGGCGCGAAAGCCAGGGGAGCAAACGGGAUUAGAUACCCGNGUAGUCCCUGAGCGGGCUGGCAAGGCGCAU
rnacentral:rRNA from 1 species